CCCUUAGAUGUUCUGGGCCGCACGCGCGCUACACUGACGAAGUCAGCGAGCAUCUCCUACGCCGAAAGGUGCGGGGAAUCUUGUGAAACUUUGUCGUGCUGGGGAUUGAUUUUUGAAAUUCUUGAUCAUCGACGAGGAAUUCCUAGUAAGCGCAAGUCAGCAGCUUGCGUUGAUUACGUCCCUGCCCUUUGUACACACCGCCCGUCGCUACUACCGAUUGAAUGGUUUAGUGAGAUUUUUGGACUGGAACUCUCUUGUUCAGCAAUGAACGAGAGGGACUCUGGGAAGCUAUUCUAACUGUAUCAUUUAGAGGAAGUAAAAGUCGUAACA
rnacentral:rRNA from 1 species